GGCCUGGUAGCACAAUGGUUAGUGCAUCUGCUCUACUUACGUGGAUUGAUUUAUAGUAAUCAGAAGAUCCCUGUUCGACUCGGGGUCAGGUCA